ACCGUGAGGGAAAGGUGAAAAGCACCCCGGGAGGGGAGUGAAACAGUACCUGAAACCGUGCGCCCACGAGCAGUCGGAGCACCCUUUUAGGGUGUGACGGCGUGCCUUUUGUAGAAUGAGCCAGCGAGUCGCUGGCGCGGGGCGAGGUUAACCGAAAGGGAGCCGGAGCGAAAGCGAGCCUUAACAGGGCGACUUGAGUCCCGCGCCGCGGACGCGAAGCCGGGUGAGCUAUCCGUGGGCAGGCUGAAGCGGGGGUAAGACCCCGUGGAGGGCCGAACGCACGUCGGUUGAAAACGGCGGCGAUGACCUGCGGAUAGGGGUGAAAGGCCAAUCAAACCCGGAGAUAUCUCGUUCUCCCCGAAAUAGCUUUAGGGCUAGCGUCGCGCGUUCACCGCCGGAGGUAGAGCACCGGAUGGACGAGGGGGCUUCGCCGCCUACCGAAUCCAACCGAACUCCGAAUGCCGGCGGCCCAGAGCGCGGCAGUCAGAGCAUGUGGGCUAAGCUGUGUGCUCGAGAGGGAAACAGCCCGGACCGCCCGCUAAGGUCCCCAAGUUCCAGCCGAGUGGCAAAGGAUGUGCGUCCGCCCAGACAACCAGGAUGUUGGCUUAGAAGCAGCCAUACAUUCAAAGAGUGCGUAACAGCUCACUGGUCGAGUGGACAUGCGCCGACAAUACACGGGGCUAAGCUGGACACCGAAGCGGCGGGAUUUUGAUUUUCAGAAUCGGUAGGGGAGCUUCCCAUGGGCGGAGAAGCCGUCAGGGCGACCGACGGUGGAGCGCAUGGGAGUGAGAAUGCUGGCAUGAGUAGCGAGAGACGAGAGAGUAACUCGUCCGCCGUGAACCCGAGGUUUCCUGGGCAAGGCUAAUCCUCCCAGGGUCAGUCGGGGGCUAAGGCGAGGCCGGGAGGCGUAGCCGACGCGCAGCAGGCAGACAUUCCUGCACCGCGCACGCGGCGCUACGACCGACGGGGCGACGGAUGGGGGUGGCUCGGCGGGGUUCUGGACGUCCCCGUGAUGGAGCGCGGCCCGCGGACCAGGGAAAUCCGGUCCGCAGAAGGGCGAGGCUCCGGACGAAGCGACUGAGCGAAGCGAGUGAGCCCGAGGUCCCUAGAAAAACCCCUAGGCAGGCGCGUGCGCGCCCGUACCGCAAACCGACACAGGUGGGUGGGUAGAACAUACCGAGGCGAUCGGGUCAACCAUGGUCAAGGAACUCGGCACAAUGGCCCCGUAACUUCGGGAGAAGGGGUGCCCGCGCGUACGUGAACGGACUUGCUCCGGGAGCGGAGGCGGGCCGCAGUGGAGAGGCCCAAGCGACUGUUUACCAAAAACACAGGACUCUGCAGAAGCCGCAAGGCGACGUAUAGGGUCUGACGCCUGCCCGGUGCCGGAAGGUCACGCGGAGGGGUUAGCCGCAAGGCGAGGCCCCGAAGCCAAGCCCCGGUAAACGGCGGCCGUAACUAUAACGGUCCUAAGGUAGCGAAAUUCCUUGUCGGGUAAGUUCCGACCUGCACGAAAGGCGCAACGACUUGGGCGCUGUCUCGACCAUGGACCCGGUGAAAUUGCACUGGUCGUGAAGAUGCGACUUACCCGCGGAAGGACGGAAAGACCCCGUGAACCUUCACUGCAGCUUGGCAUUGGCCGCUGGUCCCGCGUGUAGAGGAUAGGCAGGAGGCAUCGAUCCGGAGGCGCCAGCCCCCGGGGAGCCGCCCUUGGAAUACUGCCCUCGCGCGACCGGCGUCCUAACCCGAGGCCGUCAACCGGCUCGGGGACCGUGCCAGGCGGGCAGUUUGACUGGGGCGGUCGCCUCCUAAAGGGUAACGGAGGCGCGCGAAGGUCCGCUCGGGACGGUCGGCAACCGUCCUUUUGAAUGCAAGAGUACAAGCGGGCUUGACUGCGAGGCCCACAAGCCGAGCAGGUGCGAAAGCAGGCUCUAGUGAUCCGGCGGCCCCGAGUGGGUGGGCCGUCGCUCAACGGAUAAAAGGUACUCCGGGGAUAACAGGCUGAUCUUGCCCAAGAGUCCACAUCGACGGCAAGGUUUGGCACCUCGAUGUCGGCUCAUCGCAUCCUGGGGCUGGAGCAGGUCCCAAGGGUACGGCUGUUCGCCGUUUAAAGCGGUACGCGAGCUGGGUUCAGAACGUCGUGAGACAGUUCGGUCCCUAUCCGUCGUGGGCGUAGGAAAUUUGAGAGGAGCUGUCCUUAGUACGAGAGGACCGGGAUGGACAUACCUCUGGUGUACCAGUUGUCGUGCCAACGGCAUAGCUGGGUAGCUAUGUAUGGACGGGAUAAGUGCUGAAAGCAUCUAAGCAUGAAGCCCCCCUCAAGAUGAGAUUUCCCAACUUCGGUUAUAAGAUCCCUCGAAGAUGACGAGGUUAAUAGGUUCGAGGUGGAAGCGUGGUGACACGUGGAGCUGACGAAUACUAAUCGAUCGAAGACUUAAUCAA
rnacentral:rRNA from 1 species